CUCUUGCUUGAAGAGUCGUACU
rnacentral:miRNA from 1 species